GACGAACGCUGGCGGUGUGCUUAACACAUGCAAGUGGUGCGACGAACCAGAGCUUGCUCUGGGGCAAAGCCGCGAACGGGUGAGUAACACGUGGGUAAUCUACCCCGAUGACCGGGACAACCCGCGGAAACUCGGGCUAAUACCGGAUGUGGUGCGGCGACAUAAGUCUCUUCACUAAAGGUAGCUUCGGCUUCCGCAUUGGGAGGGGCCCGCGGCCCAUUAGCUUGUUGGUGGGGUCAAGGCCUACCAAGGCAACGAUGGGUAGCUGGUCUGAGAGGACGAUCAGCCACACUGGGACUGAGACACGGCCCAGACUCCUACGGGAGGCAGCAGUGGGGAAUCUUGCGCAAUGCGCGAAAGCGUGACGCAGCAACACCGCGUGAGGGAAGAAGGCCUUAGGGUUGUAAACCUCUUUCAGAUGGGACGAAGGUUCUCCGGUGAAUAGCCGAGAGGAUUGACGGUACCGUCAGAAGAAGCUCCGGCUAACUACGUG
rnacentral:rRNA from 1 species